GUGCCUGUGGCUCAGAGGAGUAGGGUGCCGGCCUCAUAAGCCGGAGGUGGUGGGUUCAAACCCAGCCCCGGCCA
rfam:Otolemur garnettii contig118874, whole genome shotgun sequence.